UACGUAGGGUGCAAGCGUUGUCCGGAAUUAUUGGGCGUAAAGAGCUCGUAGGCGGUCUGUCGCGUCGGAUGUGAAAGCCCGGGGCUUAACUCCGGGUCUGCAUUCGAUACGGGCAGGCUAGAGUUCGGUAGGGGAGAUCGGAAUUCCUGGUGUAGCGGUGAAAUGCGCAGAUAUCAGGAGGAACACCGGUGGCGAAGGCGGAUCUCUGGGCCGAUACUGACGCUGAGGAGCGAAAGCGUGGGGAGCAAACAGG
rnacentral:rRNA from 1 species